ACAAAUUCAUUGAAAGGUUUCAAGUUGGGAAGUUAAGUGGAGAGAUUCUGGUUUGUAAGUAGAAGAAGGUGAGAGAGGCCCAGAGACUGAAUUAAUAACUGAGACUAUAGUAAUGGAGGACAUGUGUGGUGGAGGUUGCUUAUGUCUUUUUAGAGGGAUUAUAUGUAUUAAGACUGAAUUUCUCUAGAAUUUGAACUGGUCCUCAGAAAACACAUUGUGAAGUUGUACUUCUUGUCUGGUAUUUAUAGCCCUGAUUUCUCUGAGGGUAUAGAAAUAUCAUUUAGAGAGAAAGAAAGGUAUUUCUUUUUAAAUGAUAUUUCUAUACUCCGAGGGUAUAGAAAAAUUAUUUAGAAAGAAAGACCCAUGUUUGUGGGUCUGGCAUAUAGUAAAGUGUACGUGUUUCUUAUUUUUGCCUUGCCCUUUAUCAGAUGUCUAUCCACAUUGCUUAUAUUUUUCAGUGUUCCUUUCGUUUUGUGUUUACUUUCUCUCUCCAUUUCCUCUGAGAGAUUGAAUUUAAAUUGCUUCUUUAGUGCUUACCUAAUACACAGUUGUCCUCUGUUUAAUUUUAAAGAGAAAAAAAGGAAAAAAAAUGCAACUUUUAGAAAUCAACAUAUCAUGUAACUUUGGGAACUCAAUGAUUUCUUUUUGUUUUUGAGGACAGCGGUAGGAAGUAAAUGCAUUGAUUUAGUGUGUCUUUUCAGACUUUAAAAUUUUGCUUAUCAUAAGGAGGAGUCAUAAGAAACAUAGCUCCAGUGAACAAUUAUUUGAUGGAAGGAGGAAGUGCUAUUGUCAGAGACAGUGGCAAAGCCAGAAAUAGGUUUUCUUAGAGGCUUUUCUUUGCCCUUACUUUUCUUUGUUAACUUAUUUUCUGUUUGUCCUGAGUAAUCCCUAAACUAUGUCCUGGGAAAUCCUUUAUGAUGGCAAGGAUUACAUUAGGAAUUCCUCAAAUGCUGAUUUGAUUGUCAUUAAUGGUAUGCUUUUUGAAAUAUGGAGAGUAUGUUUUUCCCUGCUUAAGACUAAUGGCUUUUCUAAAUAGAGCUGAUUGUAUCUCCAUGUUAUUGUGAGAGCAGGCAGCAGCCUGUAUUUGGACACCACCUCAAUGAAGGCUUAUUUUGUCUUGGAUGCUAGAGAAAUCUUAGUGUACUGUGUCCGUUACCUCAUAUUCCUUCCAGACAGAGGACCUGCUGUUGUGAAGGAACAUUUCUAUACUGGACAUGAGUCUCCUGGGGUUCUCCAUAUUGCCAUGCUCCAUCAUCCUCUGACAAGGGCCAUGACACAGCACUCCUCACAUUCAGCUGUGAGUCUGAGGAGAAACAAAAGGGGCAUUCUCCUUGGUGCACCAUGGAGAGCCUCUGAAAUGUUAGCUUUCCCUGUUGCUUACAGCCUUUGUCGUUCCAGUUACCUUGGACCUUAUUUUGACUUCUUGCCACUUUCCCAGACCAGCAGAAGACAGGCUACCUUCCGAAUCUUGAUUGGAGUUAUAUACAAGUAUUUGCGUAUACUCGCAAAGGAAAGAGAGACCCCUCCCAAAUCAUGGGCUUGGAGGAAAUUAUCUUUGCUGUCUGAACUUUUGUUUUGGCCAGGGCUUGGGGCCGGUUUUAUCUUUUCUGUUUUUGUUUGCAUUUUGUCAGUAAAACAAUACUAAAGAAUACAGAGAGUAAUAAAACAUUGAUAUUUAUACUGUUCAGAACCGAAAUUGGUUAAUAUUUUAUUCUACUUUGAGUGUAUUUUUCAUUAAAAAGAAAUAAUAUUAUACAUAAAAUUGGAGUACCUUUUUUCUACUACUCUCAGCCCUGAUUCUUACUCCAAGACGUAAUCACUAGCAGAAAUUUGAUAUGUAUCCUUGACGUCUAUUUUUCAUAUUUUAUAUCUCCAUUAAAAUAUAAAGUAGCAUUUUAUAAUUCUUUGUUAGUUGAAUUGCAGUUUCUUCCCUCAUAUGUGGCUUUUCAACGUACAACUUUUAGAUGCAACUAAUGUCUGAUUUGUCUGUCCUUAACUCUAUGGUUUAUUCUUAUUGCAUCUUUUUAGAGAAAACUAUUUUCCCCCAAAGUGCACUUAAGAUAAGGUCCUAAUUUUUUUCUAAAGGUGUUUUUACAUUUAUGACUUAAAUCUACCUGGCAUUUGUUUUUGCGUAUAGUUUUAAAUAGAGGUCUGAGGGUUUCCCCCUAUAUGGAUAAUUGGUAUUUACCACUGAUCUGCAAUGCCACAUUUGUCAUAUGUCUUAUUUUUUAUAUGGAUGCUUCUGUUUCAGGACCCUGUUCUAUUCCAUUGGUGUAUUUGUCCAUCCCUUGUACUAUUACAACGUUGGUAAAUUACUUUAUAUUAAGUCUUAAUUCCCAGUAAGAGUAAGUUUUCCUACCUUGUUGUUGCUUUUCAGAUUGUUGUAGUUAUUGUAGCCCCUUUUCACUUCCAUAUGAACUUUAGGUUCAGCUUAUGAGUUCUAUAAAAAUUCUGUUGUAAUUUGGAUUUUGAUUACAUUACAUUUUAUUGGCUUAUUUGGAAAGAAUUUACAUUGUGAUGCUAUUAUGUAUUCCUAUUUGUGAACACAGAAUGUUUUUUUGUUUGACUCAGAACAUUUUUUAUUUCCUUCAGUAAUGUUUUCUAAUUUUCUUGCAAAGGCCUUGUGCAUCUUUAAGUUUCUUUUUAGGUAUCUUAAACAUUUUGUAGCCAUUUGAAGUGAAAUCAUUUUUUUCUGUUAUCGUUUCUAAUUGAUUAUUGUUACUCUAUAGAAAUGACAUUGAUUUUUUUUAUGGUGAUCAUGUAUCUGUCAGUCUUAUAUACAGAGUAAUUAAUCUUUAUUUUCUGUUGGAUUUCUAUGGAGACAGUUAUGUCUAUACAUAAUUUUUAUACCUUUUUUUUCUUGGAUAUGACCUCUGGUAUAAUAUUAAAAAUGAAUAGUAAAAAAGAUCGUCUUUAUCUUUUUCCUCACUUCACAGGGAAUGUAUCUAAAGUUUCAAUGUGUAGUAUUUCAAUAUAAAUGCUGACUUUUGCUAUAGGGUUUUGAUAGGUUCAGGUAGUUUCUAUCUCUGUUUUUCUAAGAGUUUCUUUUAUAACAAGUGGACAUUGAAUUUUGUAGAAUGUUCUUUUUGUAUUGAGAUGAGCAUGUUUUCUUCUGUAACUCUUCAUUUUAAUAUGAUACAUUUUCAGAUAUUGAACCAUUUAUGCAUUCCUGGUAUAUUCAACUUGGUUGGGAAAUAUUAAAUUUUCUUUUUAAACAUGUAGAAUUUAAUUUUAUAAUGUUAUUUGGGAUGUUUCCAUCUAUUUUCAUAUGUAAAAUUGGCCUUUAAUUUUUUGCGGUUCUUGUCUGGUUUUUUGAAGGUUGCACUGGCUUCAUGUAAUGCAUUGAGUUGGUGAUUUCAUAUUUAUUUCUACUAAAUAACUGUUUCAUUUGGAUUUAAAAUUUAAUAGUCAUUUAUAAGCUUAUGAUUUGGGGGUAGGUGUUUUAGAUUUUAAUUAUUAUAUUUAAUUUUCAUUUGGAUGGGCAAUACUUCCACAUGGAACCUGACUGGAAAUUGGAAAAGGAUGUAUACCACAAAAUAAGUCUUCUUACCAUUUGUAUCCUUAGUAAUUACUCAAGUAUUUGGCCCCUAGGCAGCUACUGAUACUAUUUUCUUGUUAUAGUUUCCAUUGCUAUUUAGUGUGUAAUUUUUAUACACAAAUGGUCACAAAACAAUACACUCUGUACUAUAUCUUGUCUUUUCAUUUAACAGUAGAUCUUCAACAUUAUUCUAUAUUGAGGGUCUUUGUGAUUUUAAAAAUGUACUACUGUAUAACAAUAUUCGUCUCCUUUUUAGUUGUAAUAAUGCCUAUUUCUGCCUUUCCAUUUUUUCUUUAUCAGUCCUGCUGACUAUCUUUUAGUAGUGUCCUUUGUUUAACAGCAGAUUGACUGAAGUAUGUGACAUAAAUUUUACCCCUUUUAGUGUACCUUUCUGAAUUUUGACAAACACUAUAGGUAUAUAUUCACCAAUAUAAUCAGAAUAUAGAACAGUUCCAUCAUCCAAAAAAUGCUAAUAUUCCUUAACUCUUCUCCUUGACUCCUACCCUCUGGCCACUACUGAUCUGUUUUCUGUUCCUGCUGUUUUGAUUUUUUCCAGCAUGUCAGAUAAAUGGAAUCAUGUAGUAUGUAGCCUCUUUUUAAUUGAAAUUUUUAUUGUGAUAAUUGUAGAUUGACAUGUAUUUGCAAGAAGAAUACAGCAAGAUCCCAUAUACCCUUUACCUAGUUUCUCUCUAUUGUAAAAUUUUGCAGAACCACAGUACAACAUCACAACCAGAAUCUUAAUGUUGGUAUUGUCCAGCGAUCUUACUCCGACUUCUUGACCUAAAACCACACACACACACACACACACACACACACACACACACACAAAUGAGUUUUAUUGUGUGUGGAGGGGUUAUCCAUGCAUUUUAUUGGGGUUAUUUUAACCAUCUGGAAGACCUCUGAAAAGCAUCGGGAUUGAUUUCAGGUUUUGGUUUUUACAAAUAAGAGAAUCUUCUAUGAACAUUUGUGUGCAGGUUUUUGUGUAAACAUUAAUUUUCAUUCCUCUGGAAUAAAUGCUCUGAGUGCCAUUGCUGGGUCAUAUGAUAAUUGCACGUUUAGUUUUAUAAGAAACUACCAAACUGUUCUCCAGAAGGGCUGUACCAUUUUGCAUUCCCACCAGCAAUAGAUGUGUAAUCCAGUUUCACUGCAUUCUUGCCAGUGUUUGGUGCUGUCAUCAUUUUUUUAAUAGUAUCCAUUGUGAUAGGUGUGUAAUGAUAUCUCAUUGUGAUUUUACUUAUGUUUUUCUGAUGGCUAAAGAUGUUGAACAGUUUUUCAGGUACGUCUUUGCCAUAUUUAAAGUCUCUUUGGUGAAAUGUAUUUUCAUGGUUUUUGCUCACUUUUUAAUUGGAUUUUUAAUUUCUUUACUGCUGAGUUUUGAGAGGUCUUUAUAUAUUUUAGAAAGUAGCUGUUUGUUGGAUAUUGGUUUGCAAAUUCAUUCUCUUGGUAUGUAGCUUGUCUGUUCAUCCUUUUUACAUUACCAUUCAGAGAACAAAAAUUUUUAAUUUGAGUGUGUUUCAAUUUAUCAGUUUUUUCUUUGAUGAAUUGUGCUUUUAGUGUUAAUUAACUCUUUGCCUAGCCAUAGAUAUCAUUUUCUUUUUUCCCUAAAAGUUUCAAAGCUUUACUUUUUAUGUUUGCAUCCAUAAUCCAUUUUGAGUUAAUUUUUGUCUAAGGUGUGAGAUUUAGGUUGAGGUUCAUUUUUUUUUUGCCUAUAGUUGUCCAGUUGCUUCAGCAUUGUCCAUUGAAAAGGCCGUCUUUUCCCCAUUGUGUUGCUUUUGUGCCUUUUUCAGAAAUCAGGAAAGUGUAUUUGUUUUGGUGUAUUUGAUUUGUUUUUCUUUUCUUUUCCAAUGAUCUGUAUAUUUGUUGCUGUAUGUCUCUGAUGAGUAUCACAAUCUCUUGAUUACUGUGACUAUAUAGUAAGCUUUGAUUAAUGUUGAACGAUUCCUCACACUUUACUCUUCAAGAUUGUUUUAGCUAUUUUAGGGCCUUUGCCUUUCCAUAUAAAUUUUGGACUAAUUUUAUCUCUGUCUAGAAGAAAACUUUGCUGGAGUUUUGACAGGAAUUUUGUUAAACCUAUAGAUCAAUUUGAGGAAGGUUAAUAUUUUUUUAGUAUGCGGGAUCUUUCAGUACAUGAAUAUAGUAUGUCUCUCUGUCUAGGCCUUCUCUGAUUUCUUCCACUAGCAUUUCAUAAUUUUCAAUGUACAAGUCCUAUAUGUCUUUUAUAUGAUUUACACCUAAGUAUUAUAGUCAAUUUGCGUUGCUUAAUGACAGGGAUACGUUCUGAGAAAUGCAGCGUUAGGUGAUUUUGCUAUGUAAACAUCAUAAAGUAUACUUACAUAAACUUAGAUAGUAUAGUCUACUACACCCCUAGGUUAUAUGGCGUAGUUCAUUUUCCUAUAUGGUGUAGGAUGUGGAUUAAGUGUUUUGUUUUGGCAUAUGGGUGCCAGUUACUCCAGCAGUAUUCACUGGUAAGGCUAUCCUUUUUCUAUUGAAUUGAUUUUAUACCUUUGUCAGAAAUAAACUAAUCAUAUAGGUGGCCUGUAUUUCUGUAUUCUGUGUUUUAUUGACCUAUAUCUCUGUCUUUUUGCCAGUACCACACCAUCUUGAUUACUAGAGCCUUAUAGUAACUGUUCAGUUAAGGUAGUGUGGGUUCUCCAACUUUGAUCUUUUUCAACAUGAUUUUAGCUGUUCUAAUUCCUUGCCUUACAUAUAAAUAUUAGGAUAUGCUUUUUGAAGACUAGGAAACAUACUUCUGGGAUUUUGAUUAGGAUUGUGUUGAAUUUAUAGAACAAUUCGGGCAGAAUUAACAUCUUAAUAGUAUUGAGUCUUCCUGUCCAUGAACCCAGUAUCUCUUUCCAUUUACUGAAGUAUUCUUUUAAAAACUGGUGUUGUGUAUUUUCCACAUAAGGAUUCUGCACAUAUUUUGUUACUUUUUAUUUAAGGAUUUCAUGUAUCUUGGUCCUAUUAUAAGUAGUACUGUUUUAAAAUUUCAAAUUCAGUUGUUCACUGCUAGGCAUAGAAUUACAGUUGAUAUUUGUAAUAGACCGUAUUCUACAGCCUUGCUAAAUUUAUUAAUUCUAGUAGAUUUUAAAUAAAUUGUUUGUAGACAGUCAUAUUGUCUGUUACUUAGCAUAGUAAUGUCUUCUUUUCCAAUCAGUAUGACUUUCUACUUUUUUGUUGUUUUUUAGACCUUAUUACAUUAACUUGGACCUCCAGUAUAAUAUUAGAGUAGGAGUAGUAACCACAGAACACCCUACCCUUUUUCCUUGUUUAGGAAGAAAUCAUUCAUUAUACCACUAAAAGUGAUGUUAACUCUAGGAUUUCUUGUUCAUGACCUUUAUUUGAUUAAGGAUAUUUCCUUCUUCCAAGUAUGCUGGAGUUUUUAUUAUGAGUGGGUGCUGAAUUUAUUCAAAUGCUUCUUCUGUAUCUAUUGAGAAGGCUGUACCAUUUUUCUUAAUUGAUGUAUCAAUACAGUAAAUUAUAUUAAUUGAACUUUUAACCAGCCUUGAAUUCCCAAGAUAAAUCCCACUUCAUUAUGAUGUAUUAUCUUUUCUUAUAUGUUCUUGAAUUUGAUUUGCUAAUAUUUUGUUAAGGAUUUUUGUGUUUAUGCUUAUAAGGGACAUUUGUCUGUAAUUUUCUUAAAAUGUCUUUGUUUUGUUUUAAUAUUAGGAUAGUGCUGGCCUCAUUUAUGACUAUUCUCUCCUUUUUUUCUGGAAGAGUUUUUGUGGAACAGUGUUAUUUUCUUCUAAAAUAUGUUGUAGAAAUUAUCAGUGAAGCCGUCUGAGCCUGUUAUCAGUGAAGCCACCUGAGCCUGGUGUUUCCUUUGCUGGAGGUUUUAACUGUGAAUUAAAUUUAUUUAAUGGAUAUAGCAUGAUUCAAAUUAUCUGUUUCUCCUUGUGUGAGCUGUAGCAGUUUGUAUUUUUGAAGGAAUUCAUCCAUUUAAUCAUAGUUGUUGAAUUUAUGAGCAUAAAGUUUUUCAUAGUAUUUGCCUAUCCUAAGCCUUUAAUGUCUAUGUGGUCAGUAGUGAUGUCCCCUUUUGUAGUCCCAAUAUUGGCAUCAUAUUUUCCUGAUCAGUCCAGCUAGAGGUUUAUCAAGUUUACUAACCUUUUUAAAGAACCAGCUUCAGAUGUUAUGAGUUUUCUCUUUUUCUUUUUCUAUAUUUCAUUGAUUUUUGCUCAUAUCUUUAUUAGUUUCUUUCUUCUUGCUUUGGAUUUAAUUUGCUCAUCUUUUAUUAUAGAUUUUUAAGCAUUGAUCAUUGAUUAGAUACUGUUCUUUUCUAUUGUAACAUUUAAUUCUAUAAAUUUUGCUUUAAGCACUUAGAUACAUUCUGUAAUUUGGGAUUUGUUAUAUUUUUAAUUUUCAUUGAAAUCAGACAUUUUCUAAUUUAUCUUGUGACUUCCUCUUUGACUCAUUGGGUUAUUUACAAGUGUGUUGUUUAUUUUCCAGAUAUUUUCUUUUUCAUUCCAGAGAUUUUCCUCAUCUUUCAUUAUUUCUCGUAUAACUUCUUUAUAGUCAGAGAAUGUACUUUGUACCAUUUCAAUUCUUUUAAAGAUUGUAGUGGUAUGUUUGAGGUACGUUUCUGGUUUCGAAUAUGGUCUUUCUUGGUCACUAUCUCAUAUGCACUAUGAGAAAAAAAUGUGUAUUCUGAUAUUGUUGGUCGAUAUGUUUACAAAUACCAGGUCAAGUUGUUAAUGUUAUUCAGGUCUUUUAUAUCAUUAACAAUUUUCUGUCUGCUUGUUUUAUCAAUUACUGAGAAAGGAGUAUUGAUUUCUCUAACUAUAAUUCUGGACUUGUUGAUUUUUACUUGUUCUACCAGUUUUUGUUUCAUUAUUUUUAGUGUGCUUUAUCAGUUUUUAGAACAUACACAUUUUAGAUUGUUCUGUCUUUCUGCUGGAGCUUGCCUCUCCCUGUCCAAUGGUUUUGCAUUUGCCUCUAAGCAGCUCCCCUAACUCCUGGUCCAGAACCAGCUCUUAUAAUGGAAUUUGGAGAAACUGUCCUGAAAUAAUUACAAAAAUAGUGUAUAUUCCUAGUCUUAAGCACCAGGUGAUUUGAUUCAAUUCCUGGUGGGAGCUAUCUUUUUGUUCUUUCACUUAGAACCAUUGCUCUUCACAUGCACCCCAAAACCUAAAAUGCAAUUAACAAAAAAAAAAAAGAACCAUUGCUCUACAGAGGUAGCCUUAGGCAGUGGAUCUGCACAAGUUUUCUUUUUUCAUCCUUAUUUCAUACACAACCUCUCAUCACCCAAUUCUACCCCUACUUCAAGCAGGGAACCUGGCUCUAGUUCCCCUUCCUCCCAUGGAGCACAUUAGUCUCCUUUGCUUUGUAGAAUCUGAACUCCUUACUGCUAAUGCUGCUCUAGAUUUCUAGCCUGGAGUUCUUGUGGUUUUAGUUCUAUGAUUUGUAUUUCUGUUCAGUUUCUGGUCCAUAGAGAUGCUUAUCAUUUUUGAGCCUGAGCUAUAUUUUCUUAGAUUAUUACAAGCUUUUACAUUUAAUCAGUUUUUACUCUGAGUUUGGAGCAGAGGUGCAUCAUGCUGAUAAAUGUGAAUUAAAAUGAUUUUUUUAACUUCUGUAUGGUGUUCUAUCAUAUGAAUAGAUCAUGUUCUAUUUAUCCAUUUACUAGAUAAUUUUUGAUAAUUGAAUUUAAGAAAUAAUGAGUUGAAACAAAUGUAGUUUCAUGACUUAAGCCCUGUUGAAAAACUAAAUGGAAAAUACUAAAUUCAGUUCAAGACACUUUGUUAUAUGUGAAAUGCAGAUAUUUGAAGAAGACAAGUGGGAAACAUCUAUGGCUUCAGCUAAGUAGGAGAAUGAGCUCUGUGGUGGAACUCAUAAAAAGAAAAGAGAGUUAGGAGUGAAUUUUUAGGACUACCCAAGUGUAGGUGAUAAUAAGAGAAAUGAGAUCCCUUGGAGAGAUAUUGAAUAGGGACAUUUGAAAUGUAGGAAGGAGAAAAGAAUUUCUAGAACAGUAUUUAUUAUUGCAGCAAACCACUCAAAUGAUGAAACUAAAACAAUGAUAGUCUCGGAAUAAAACCUGAGUUCUAAUCUCCACCAUUCCUUUCACUAGCUAUAAGGCUUUUGGUUAACAAACUGGGUCUCAAUUUUUACAUCUGUAAAGUAUGUAAUAAAUGGUUUACUAAGAUUCCUUCUACCUGUAAAAGGUGAUGCUUAUGUAUUUUAAUAAAUGGAAUGUUAGUGACCGUGACCUUGAGAAAACUGUUUGUGUAGUUUGUAAAGUCCCAGUUGUAAAAUGUUAAGGAGGUUUCUUUGAUGUCCCAGGAUAUGAUGCCAUAUCAAAAAUGAGAAAGCAUACUAUAGCAAGAGACAUUAGAUAACAGCAAUCAGAAGGUGUUUUGAAUAUACUUUUGAAUCCCUCCCAAUGCCUUGGGAAAAAAACUCAAUAAAUGUUUUUCUUUUAGUUAAUUAAACUCCAAGAUUUGGUUUAACCAAGUAAACCGUCUGGGAUUUUUCAUGUUUUAUUUAUUACUUUUCUUAAAAAGAGAGAUAUAUGUAUUAGGGAUUUAUUUUGGAGUAAUAUAGCAUUACCUAGAGUAAAGACUUCAGUUGAUUCAAUAUGGUUCUGCAUCUGAGGAAUGAUAGAUUAACAGAAUUGUUGAGACUACUACAUAAGCUACCCAUGAAUACACCUCUAGACAGUUGUAAGGAAUAAAUAGAGUACUUCUGGGAUAUUUAUGAUCCCAUUGUAGUGUAGGUACCUGCAGAAAAUAUAAAUCCCCUUAUUUUUCUCUAGGAUGCUCUUAAAGUUUAUGGAUUUGGAGAUUUGAUGUCCAAAUAUGAAAGCUUUCUGCUGUUGAAAAGUCCCUGAUUCUAGGCAAAUUCAUUUUAUAAUUUCCUUAAAAAGUAUGUAAAGUAUAUACUGUUUGUUUUAUUUUACAAGGCUAAUCAAAACUGAGAAAAAAUUAAUCUUUUGCCUCUAUCCAUCUUUUGAGUUUUAGGUUUCAUAAUAAAUACAAACACAGAUUAAGAAAUAUGGCGGGAACUUGUAGUCUUUUUCAAAUAGUGUACCACAUCUUCCUACUUUGGAGUCAUAUAUGAGUGAAUUGUGAUUGAGGAAAUGCCCCCAGGUCUUGGAAAUCAAGAGUGAGGAUUGGCAAGAAGGAGAAAGAGGCAUACCUCUCCUAAACCUCAUCACUAUGCUACUAAAAUCUGCUCUUAUGUAAUUAGGUCAGUGUGCCAUGGACCAGGACCUGAGUGUAUGAAGGCUUGCUUAUUUGCACUGGGAGUAGAGCUAGCCUGGUUCCAUCACGAUGGCUUCAUUCUCUGUUUCCCUAUUUGUUAGUAUCACCUUCAGCUUCACUCUACUGGUAGCCUGAUUUCUAACUGCUUAUAAUUCAAAGACCCCUAAAGUUGAAAGAAGCUUUUCUCUCAGUGGGUGUUUGUAUUUAAUAAGAAGGAGGAAGAAAACGCACCAGUUUGCCUGUGGGUGGUAAUUCUUCACAAGGUUGCAGCUAACAUUUGGUUUCCAUUUAUCACUCUCAGUUGCCCACGUGGUUAUCCUGGCCUUUAUGCUGUUUGUAGUAAAUUUCAUUUUACUUGUGAUUGCCCAUUUUCUGUUAGAAGGUCAUGGGGAUGGACCAGAGAAUUUCUGAACACAAAUACGGCAUACUUUAUGUUUUAUCAUUUGAUGAUAGUAAUCCAUCCUUAUCGGUAAUAUUUUCCAAAGUAGGUUUGUAACAUUUUGCCCACUUCAGAAGUAGGGCUUAUGAGUAUUAAAUACUUGUUAACAGUCAGAUGAAGAUACUGAUUGGUAGAAUAGAAAUUGAGAUAAUUAAUUUUGAAGAAUGGUUAGUCAGCAGAAACCAUCUGCCUCUUCAGAGUGUACUUCAGGAAGACAUUGGAACUAAUGCUGAGAAAAGCUUAGCCAUACAAUGCAUGCAGUAUAGUUCAGUUUGGAUGGACUUUUGCAUAAUAAAAUAUAUAAGCUGAAAGAUUAGGAAAGAAUUGCUUUCUAAAACUUACUGGACAUUUUGUAAAAUCAUGAUCUCUUAUAUUUACUAAUUUUUCCUGCUUAAAGAUAAGUAGAAAAUAAGAAAAUUGGGAGAAAACAGAUUAUCUCAAAAUCAUGAUUUUUAUUUAUGUAACUUUUGAGGGAAUGUAUUCAGUAUGUAUAGUGAAUCACAACUCUAAUACUCUUUCUUCCUUAGUAUUCAAUAGUGAAUAUGUCUCAGAGCCCACAUCCAAAGCCUUACCCAUCUGUAAAAGUCUGCUGGCCUUACCUAUAAAUUAAUAAAUAAAUAUUGAUUUUAAGAUUUAAAUAAGUAGAAAGGAAGGUACAGAAAAUGGUAAUGGUGAUGGCAUAAAAUAAGGUUGGAAAGUUAUAAAGGAACCAGAUCAUGAAGGGCUUUUUAUACUUACUAUAUUUGUUUUCUAUUGCUGCUAUAAUAAACUACUAUAAAUUUAAUGGCUUAAAGCAAUACCUGCUUAGUAUUCCACAGUCCUGUGGGACAGAAGUCUGGGCACAGUGUGACUCAGCUGGGCUCUCUGCUUAGGGUUUCACAAGGCCAAAAUCAAUAUGUGAGCAGAACUGUUUUCUAUAUCAGAGUCUCUGGAGGAGAAUCACUUUGCAGGUACAGUUAGAAUGGUGUCAGGAUUCUCUUCUUUCUUUUACUUUGCAUAUGUGCCCCUCCAACUUCAAACCAGCAAUGAUGUGUCAAAUUCUGGUGCUUUGACUCUCUCUGACUUCUUCUUUUACUACUGGUUGAAAAAACUAUGUUUUUGAGGGCUCAUAUGAUUAGAUUAGGCCUACCCAGAUGUGGGAGCCAAAAUUCUGCCUACCACAAUCAUGUUGAAGAGUUAGGACUUUAUUUUGAUGGGUAUUGUGCAGUUUUAAGUAGAGGAGUGAUGUGAUACAAUUUGUGCUUUAUAACAAACCCUGUGACUAUCAUAAAGACAAAGAUUGUCUUGGGGCCACCCUGAGGUCAUGGAAAGCCAUUAGCUAAUUUAAGAAGAAGCCACCCUGGGGUCAUGAAAAGCCAUCAGCUAUUUUAAGAAGAAACGGAUUUCAUACAGUGAAUAAAGUGCUUAUAAAAUCUGUGAAAGGGCUGGAGGAGCAGACUUAGGCUUCCUCUCUAGGACUGACUCUAGAAUAGUACCUUGGAGCUGGCCCAACCAAGGGCACUGCUCACCUUUGUCAGAAAUCAGAUGAAGGGAAAAUAAAAUCAUCAAGCUUCUGUCCCCAGUGCUGACCACACCACUUUAGCUGUGUUCUGGAGAUCAGAAACUGCUGCUCGGGGCGUUGACUCUAGCAACAGACUGCUUGAACUGUGAUCUAGUCGUUUGGAAGCCUCUACCUAAAUUAUUUCCACACUAUGUCUGCUAGAUCUACUGCCUCUGUCUCCAGGGCUGUGAUUGAUAGAAGCUAAAUCUCAUUGGCAAGAGAGUGUGGGAAAUGUAAUUUUCAGCUUUUCAGUUUUGUAAGUACAGGAAAGCCUACCAGGAGGAGGUUAAAACAGAUAUUGAGAAAGCUUAUCUAGUUUUUGCAUCCACAAAAAAUUGUAGCAAUAUAGGUUAUUAAUGAUUGUGGCCUGAAUUUAUAAGGCAAGUGAACAGGAGA